GUCCAACCCUCCUCAUCCAACUAUGCCCUGGAUUUAUUUAGAGAGAACCAAGCAAUUCUAGUACGACACGAAUGAAUCAAAUGAUCAGCAGUUUUGGGAAUCCUCAAAAGGCAAGAAGGUACUUGGCGGCCAGCCCAGGGGAGAGGUUAAAGGUAAUUAUUGAUGAUGUGGUAUGAGUGAAAGAAUGCAGGAGAGUAGAGCUACAGUCUGUACCUUUCUUCACUUCGAAUAUGUGUUUCAAUUUCUUUGGAGUGGGGUAGGUUCUUGUAACGAGUUAGGACAUGAGCACAUCCAACAUUUUGUACAAUUACUUCUAAUAA